UAUAUAUUAGACAAGUUGGGCAAGAGGUUAAAACCUAGCCUUCAACCCUAGAUGUUUAUUGGUUUGGUUUAAUUAUAUAUCAAGCAGAAAGGUUGCAGAUCCAGGCUCAGUGACAGAACAAAUCAGACAUGGCAGAAGAGUUUCAUUAUUUAAGGGAAAGGAAAUCGUCAUCAAUAUUCUGCGUGGAUGCAUCUAGAGGGUGAGAGGAGGACAGGGCCACGCUGAUUGUCAGUUCACAGGGGGGGCCAUAUAUAGAAAUAGCCACAAGUUGCAGCAGCAUAUAAUAUCUCUUCUUAUACCUCCGCCACUCUAAAUAGUGAGUUUUAUAUUAAAGUCUGCUUAACAAGUACACCUACCCAGCUGCGUACGUAAGACUAGUACCAUAUCAUUAUUGUCUAUACGCAAGGGAUUAAUAACUUCUUCUCCUAUUGCUGCUUCUGAUCUGAAAACCAAACCCAAUUCUCAAUCGCAAAUCUGGGUAUAUAAACAGA